AAGGCAAUGAUCUCCCUAUUCUUCAAAGAGGAGGGAAGUGGUAAUCCCACCACACCUUUCUAUCAGAUGGAUGGUGGAUCUUCAUCGUUGAUCAGAGACACUGUGGUUGCACCUGCUAAUGAUCCACUGUAGCAUAACUCCCAAGAGGAGGGAAAAAAUGAAAUAACCAUCAGCUGUAUGACUGAACACAAACACACUAUGUUAAGACAGUCAAUGAGGGAGUAGACGUUAAAUUGUAAAAAUAUAUUAUUAAUAUUUAUAUAGAGUUAUAGAGUUCCAUGAGAACGAGAAUUUACCCAACCCUUCGGGUAAGGAAUUACAGCAAUAAAAAAUGUCUAACUCAUUGAACAUAUAACAUUCAUAUUUUGAGUACACAAUUAUUUUUUUAUCUAAACAUUGUAUACAUGUACAUGUAGAGAUGGUGACGCCACAGUGAUUCUCCUUGACUUUUGAAAGCCAGAGCUUCUGUCGCUCCUCUUCCUGGGUCCUCGUGGUCUCCACAGAGACAGUAUAGUAGAAGGUCUUCUCCUGUCUCAUUCAGUCCUUGGUGCCACUCUAGCAGGAGGUGGAGCUUGACAGGCAGCACAUCAGAAACAAUCUGUCAACAACAGCUUUUAAACUCUUGAUUGUUGCUGCUUGACAACAUCUGCUUGUUCCAGUAUUAGCUAUGCAGAUCUUCAUGUUAGUGGUUUUAUUCACUGGGUUUACUGGUGACAGUUAUCAGCAAACCAUCCACUCAAUCCAGGACAGUCCAGUCCAGGCUCUACAAGGAGACGGCGUGACUCUCUCCUGCAACUACUCUUCAGCAACAAACUUCUUCUGGUAUCGGCAGUACCCCAGCUCACCUCCCCAGUUCCUUAUCAAAGAUUACAUGGAGCUAUCUGGAUUCACCUUGAAAAAGGACAGUGAUAAAAAAAUUUUCCAUCUGGAGAUCUCCGCUGCUGCCGUGACAGACUCUGCUCUGUACUACUGUGCUCUGAGGCCCACAGUGACAGGAAACACAGACUCCCUGUACAAAAACCUGCUGAGCACGAAACUCAAUUCCCUCUCCCCCUUAAACCAUCACACAGACAUUACUGUUUAAACACAUCGGUACUCCUCUGUGCCAUUUUCCCCACACACCAAACAUCUUACAAUCUUUCUGAAGUUCAUUCUCUUUCUGUAGUUCAUUCUCUUUCCAUAAUAUUGGGAAUUUUAGGGUUCAAAUUGGUUAUUAUAUGUGGGUCAUUUCAAUCAUUGGUUAUUGUUUCAGACAUUUUAUCCUGGUGUGUUCUUUAUGG